rnacentral:misc_RNA from 1 species
AAGUCGUAACAAGGUUUCCGUAGGUGAACCUGCGGAAGGAUCAUUAACACUUACUGUUUUUAUAGUUUUUACAAACUUUAACAAACAUGUAUUUCAACAAACUCGUGCUCCCUUUUUUUCCAAACCUUAAAACAUUUUUAAAUUUUUUAUUUUUAACAGUUUUCCAUUUUUAGCUAUUUUGUUUUUCGAACAAAAAACACUAAUAACGGAAAUGUAAGUAAUAACAGUGUUAUAGUGUUGUCAUGAUAUUAUAACAGGUUAAACAAACAACUGUUAACAAUGGAUAUCUAGGCUCUC